rnacentral:rRNA from 1 species
GUCCUUUUGUUUAUUUAUUUAAGGUCUGACCUGCCCAAUGAGGAAUUCAAUGGCCGCAGUAUUUUAACUGUGCUAAGGUAGCAUAAUCAUUUGUCUUUUAAUUGAGGGCUGGAAUGAAAGGUUGGACGAGAUAUUAACUUUCUUUAGUUUAAUUUUAAGAAUUUAAUUUUUGAGUUAAAAAGCUUAAAUUUAUUUGUUGGACGAGAAGACCCUAUAGAUCUUUAUAAUUUUAUAUUUUGAUAAUUUGGUGAUUUUAUUUAUUGUAAGUAGAAGAAUUAUUUUGUUGGGGUGACUGUAGAAUUUUAUUAACUUCUAUUAUUUUUAUUUCAUUGAUUGGUGUUUUUUUGAUCCAUAUAUUUAUGAUUAAAAGAUUAAG